ensembl:snRNA U6 U6 spliceosomal RNA
GUACUCGCUUUGGCAGCACAUAUACUAAAACUGGAAUGAUACAGAGAAGAUUAGCAUGGUCCCUGUGCAAGACUGACAUGCAAAUUGGUGAAGUGUUCCAUAUUUUU